rnacentral:rRNA from 1 species
UGUGGCGCACGGGUGAGUAACACGUAGGCAAUCUGCCUUUAGGACGGGGACAACCUCGAGAAAUCGAGGCUAAUACCCGAUAAUGCAGCCGCAUGUAAAGCCCCGCCUAUUGAUGAGCCUGCGUCCCAUUAGGUAGUUGGUGAGGUAACGGCCCACCAAGCCUUCGAUGGGUAGCUGGUCUGAGAGGAUGAUCAGCCACACUGGAACUGAGACACGGUCCAGACUCCUACGGGAGGCAGCAGUGAGGAAUAUUGCGCAAUGGCCGAAAGGCUGACGCAGCGACGCCGCGUGAAGGAUGAAGUCCGUUAGGAUGUAAACUUCUUUUGCAGGGGAUGAAUGACCGUACCCUGCGAAUAAGGAUCGGCUAACUACGUGCCAGCAGCCGCGGUAAUACGUAGGAUCCGAGCGUUGUCCGGAAUUACUGGGUGUAAAGGGCGUGUAGGUGGAACUUUAAGUCGGUGGUGAAAUCCUGCAGCUCAACUGCAGAAUGGCCCUCG